CGACCGCGCACGGGUGAGUAACACGUAUGCAAUCCACCUGUAACAGGGGGAUAACCCGGAGAAAUCCGGACUAAUACCCCAUAAUAUGGGCGCUCCGCAUGGAGAGUUCAUUAAAGAGGGCAAUUUUGGUUACAGACGAGCAUGCGCUCCAUUAGCCAGUUGGCGGGGUAACGGCCCACCAAGGCGACGAUGGAUAGGGGUUCUGAGAGGAAGGUCCCCCACAUUGGAACUGAGACACGGUCCAA
rnacentral:rRNA from 1 species